rnacentral:tRNA from 1 species
GCUCCCAUGGCGUAGUGGUCACUGCGCUCGCCUUGCACGCGGGAGACCCGGGUUCGAUUCCCUGCGGGGUCA